rnacentral:lncRNA from 1 species
AGAAUGUAGUUUUCUAUAUUGAAAUGCUAAGUCAAUAAAGUUUUGCACUAUUUGCCAUGAGUUUUCCAUAUUGUAAACCUUGGCAUAUGAUAUAUGUACUUUGGAAAAAGAAAUCAAAUAGCUUCAAAUGACAUGCAUUUACAUUGAUACAUUGAGUUAAUGAUACUUGGCCCUGGUAAACGUAAUAGGAGUCGAGGUUAGCUUAAGGGUAUGGCAUGCCAUAUAAACAUACAGAGUUCGCAGUACUGCUACCGAUACAUGAUUUAUAUUAGAGGUUACAUAUCUGGUACCUCAUAAGCAUGGCCACAGAGCCCUGCUAUCACAGUUUUGGCCUCUGAACCUACAGUUCGGCACCUUGUGCCUACCGUUAUAACUCCUUAUCUACCUAGUCGAUCCUACUAUGUGUUUAUAUGGGCUAAGAUCUUAAUUAAGAUUGAUACUUGAUUUUGGUGAACUUAUUAGUGAG